CUACUGCAGGCCGACGGUGAGACUUCUGCAAAGCCGUGUCAUUUGCAAAUAACAGGUUUUGCAAAGUAUCACAGCCUGUCUGCGGUAU
rnacentral:pre_miRNA from 1 species